UACGAAGGGGGCUAGCGUUGUUCGGAAUCACUGGGCGUAAAGGGCGCGUAGGCGGCUUUGUAAGUCGGGGGUGAAAGCCUGUGGCUCAACCACAGAAUUGCCCUUCGAUACUGCAUGGCUUGAGACCGGAAGAGGUUAGUGGAACUGCGAGUGUAGAGGUGAAAUUCGUAGAUAUUCGCAAGAACACCAGUGGCGAAGGCGGCUCACUGGCCCGAUACUGACGCUGAGGCACGAAAGCGUGGGGAGCAAACAGG
rnacentral:rRNA from 1 species